AACGAACGCUGGCGGCAUGCCUAACACAUGCAAGUCGAACGAGACCUUCGGGUCUAGUGGCGCACGGGUGCGUAACGCGUGGGAACCUGCCCUUAGGUUCGGAAUAACUCCCCGAAAGGGGUGCUAAUACCGGAUAAUGUCUUCGGACCAAAGAUUUAUCGCCUUUGGAUGGGCCCGCGUUGGAUUAGCUAGUUGGUAGGGUAAAAGCCUACCAAGGCGACGAUCCAUAGCUGGUCUGAGAGGAUGAUCAGCCACACUGGGACUGAGACACGGCCCAGACUCCUACGGGAGGCAGCAGUAGGGAAUAUUGGACAAUGGGCGAAAGCCUGAUCCAGCAAUGCCGCGUGAGUGAGGAAGGCCUUAGGGUUGUAAAGCUCUUUUACCCGGGAUGAUAAUGACAGUACCGGGAGAAUAAGCUCCGGCUAACUCCGUG
rnacentral:rRNA from 1 species